rnacentral:rRNA from 1 species
UACGGAGGGUGCGAGCGUUGUCCGGAAUCACUGGGCGUAAAGGGCGCGUAGGUGGCGGGAUAAGCGUGUGGUGAAAGCCUGGGGCUCAACCCCGUGUCUGCCAUGCGGACUGUCUUGCUCGAGCGUAGUAGAGGCAGGUGGAAUUCCGGGUGUAGCGGUGGAAUGCGUAGAGAUCCGGAAGAACACCGGUGGCGAAGGCGGCCUGCUGGGCUACUGCUGACACUGAGGCGCGACAGCGUGGGGAGCAAACAGG